CCCGUCCGUCUUCUAACUCUCUUAUAGUCUUUCUAUCUGUCUCGAGUUUGGGCUAUUUGGGAGAUGUCACAGAAGGGUGCUGUCGCUGCCGCUGUCGUCGCCUCGCAUAGCUCCCCCUCCCAAGCUUCCAGGUGGUUUGAUGUUUUGUACAGUGGAAGAAAAGCCAGAUUGGUGCUAAAAGUAUGCACAAUGGAGGAAACAAGAAAAUGUGACUACCUAGAGUAGAAUCUUGAAUUCUCAUGUAUUCUUGGAAUGAAAUAUUAUGACUAAAGUUGUAAUAAGCUACUUUAUAAUGUUGUAUCCAAUUGGAAUAAAUAUUAUGACUCAAUAUUUACCAGAUGACUUAAUCCAA